rnacentral:misc_RNA from 1 species
AUUGUUCGCGCUGGCGGUUCUCCAAGGUUGGCGCGACUUCCCGCGCGACAACGCACUCCUAGCAGUGUGCUGAAGAACCCCCUCGCCACGGAGGAAGCUUGAUGAUUCACUUUAUCAUCUCGAAUCGCGGAGGCGAUCAUGCGUGGCAGGUUUACGGAUCAGGGCGGCCUGUUUUCGUACAUCGCGCCCGAUAAGCGGGUGCCGGCGAACCAUCCGUUGCGGCAGGUCCGGGAACUUGUCCGGGAUGUUUUGAGUGAU